AGUCGCGCCGCCAAGCGGUCAGGCACCUGGUUUUGAUCUUGGCCUGCGUUGGUUCGAAUCCAGCCGCCCCUGCCA
rnacentral:tRNA from 1 species